rnacentral:lncRNA from 1 species
CAGCCAGUGAUCUUUUAAAAAUGUAAAUCAGGUCAUGUCCCUUCUCUGUGUAAACUCUUCCUGGCUCCCCAUAACACUUAGAAUAAAACUCCAGACCUCAUGUGACCUGUUCCCACCUGUCUCUCCAGCCUCAUUUUGUGUCACUACCGCCAUAUCCCUCUAGCACCCUGUGGCCACACUGGCCUCCUUACCUCCAGGGUAAGGGACACCCUCAGAGCACCUCCGGCCUUCACUCGUUUCCCCUCUGCCUGCCCUGCCUCCUCCAGUUUAUUUCCUGAUUGCACCUUGUUCUCAUCAUAGAAUGUAAGCUGCAUGCUCACCUUCGAUUCUCCAGGGCCCAGCUACCUGGUAGGUGCUUAUUAAAUAUUUAUUGAAUGGAUGAUGGGCUCUGAGCCUUUCACCCUACAGCCGCAUUUCCAGGUGUUCUGGGAGCAUCAGUGGGAAGGACGUGUCCAGUGCUCAGAGCAGUGUGUGGUACAUACUAAAUACUCAGCGUCCCACCGUGACAACAGCAGCGAUAACCAACACCUCCAUUCUGCCAGGCCCUGUGCUAAAUGCAGUAUCUCAUUUAACCUUCGCAGUGAUCCUCUGAGGUAGGCACUGCUCCUGUCCCCAUUUUAAAGAUGGAGAAACUGAGGCUUAGGAAGCUGCCCAAGGCCCUAUAGUCAGCAAGGAGAGGAGCUAGGAUUUAAACACCAGGAGGCUGCCCAAACCCACUGUCCAUACCUGCCUGCUGAGUUCACUGUCCAAACCCACUGUCUACACCUGCCCUGCUGAGUCCAUUGUCCAAACCCACUGUCUACACCCGCCCUGCUGAGUCCGUUGUCCAAACCCACUGUCUACACCCGCCCUGCUGAAUCCACCAUCCUCCAGCCCUACCUCACCUCUCCCCUCGCUUGCAGCACCGGUCCCUGCUGGUUGCCUUCCGUUAAGCAUCCUCAUCUUGAGGCUGAGUCCUUCUUGCUGUUCAUAGAACCUCUGUACACCCUGAGUCUCAAAAACUGUUGCUGGGUGAAAUGGAAUUUAAUUCUGGCCCUUCUUCCCCCCACCUGAAGCCCCUUCCGUUUUGGUUCCCUUCUUUUCUUUCU